rnacentral:rRNA from 1 species
GAUGAACGCUGGCGGCGUGCUUAACACAUGCAAGUCGAACGGAAAGGCUCCUGCUUGCAGGGGUACUCGAGUGGCGAACGGGUGAGUAACACGUGGGUGAUCUGCCCUGCACUUCGGGAUAAGCCUGGGAAACUGGGUCUAAUACCGGAUAGGACGAUGGUUUGGAUGCCAUUGUGGAAAGUUUUUUCGGUGUGGGAUGAGCUCGCGGCCUAUCAGCUUGUUGGUGGGGUAAUGGCCUACCAAGGCGUCGACGGGUAGCCGGCCUGAGAGGGUGUACGGCCACAUUGGGACUGAGAUACGGACCAGACUCCUACGGGAGGCAGCAGGGGGGAAUAUUGCACAAUGGGCGCAAGCCUGAUGAAGCGACGCCGCGUGGGGGAUGACGGCCUUCGGGUUGUAAAAUCCUUUCGCUAGGGACGAAGCGCAAGUGACGGUACCUGGAGAAGAAGCACCGGCUAACUACGUG